CGGGAUGUAGCGCAGUUGGUUAGCGCACGCGUCUGGGGGGCGUGAGGUCGCUGGUUCGAGUCCAGUCAUCCCGACCA
rnacentral:tRNA from 1 species